ACUUAAAUAGUUUAAAUAAAAUGUUAGCUUGUGGCGCUUAAGAUGUAAAAAUUUACUUUAA
rnacentral:tRNA from 1 species